AGAGUUUGAUCCUGGCUCAGGAUGAACGCUGGCGGCGUGCUUAACACAUGCAAGUCGAACGGAGUUUUUAACGGAAGUUUCGGAUGGAAGUUUAAGAACUUAGUGGCGGACGGGUGAGUAACGCGUGGGUAACCUGCCUCAUACAGGGGGAUAACAGUUAGAAAUGACUGCUAACACCGCAUAAUAUAGCGAAACCGCAUGAUUUUUGCUAUCAAAUAUUUAUAGGUAUGAGAUGGGCCCGCGUCUGAUUAGCUAGUUGGUGGGGUAAAGCCUACCAAGGCGACGAUCAGUAGCCGGCUUGAGAGAGUGACCGGCCACAUUGGGACUGAGACACGGCCCAAACUCCUACGGGAGGCAGCAGUGGGGAAUAUUGGACAAUGGGGGAAACCCUGAUCCAGCGAACCGCCGCGUGAGUGAAGAAGUAUUUCGGUAUGUAAAGCUCUAUCAGCAGGGAAGAUAAUGACAGUACCUGACUAAGAAGCCCCGGCUAACUACGUGCCAGCCGCUGC
rnacentral:rRNA from 1 species